UCAGGCCUAACACAUGCAAGUCGAACGGCAGCACGGGAGCAAUCCUGGUGGCGAGUGGCGAACGGGUGAGUAAAGCAUCGGAACGUGCCCAGUCGUGGGGGAUAACGUAGCGAAAGCUACGCUAAUACCGCAUACGAUCUGUGGAUGAAAGCGGGGGACCGUAAGGCCUCGCGCGAUUGGAGCGGCCGAUGUCAGAUUAGGUAGUUGGUGGGGUAAAGGCCCACCAAGCCGACGAUCUGUAGCUGGUCUGAGAGGACGACCAGCCACACUGGGACUGAGACACGGCCCAGACUCCUACGGGAGGCAGCAGUGGGGAAUUUUGGACAAUGGGCGCAAGCCUGAUCCAGCGAUGCCGCGUGCAGGAUGAAGGCCUUCGGGUU
rnacentral:rRNA from 1 species